ensembl:snRNA U6 U6 spliceosomal RNA
GUGUUCACUUCAGCAGCACAUAUAUAUUAAAACUGCAAGAUCAGCAUGGCACCUGCACAAGAAUGACACACAAAUUUGGGAAAGGUAAAUGCUUAAU